rnacentral:rRNA from 1 species
CAUACCAAUGAUCGCUUUUGUAAUGAAAGCUUUUCUUCGGAACAUUGGAUACRGGUGGUGCAUGGUCGUCGUCAGCUCGUGUCGUGAGAUGUUGGGUUAAGUCCCGCAACGAGCGCAACCCUUGUUAUUAGUUGCCAGCAUUUAGUUGGGCACUCUAAUGAGACUGCCGGUGAUAAACCGGAGGAAGGUGGGGACGACGUCAGAUCAUCAUGCCCCUUAUGACCUGGGCAACACACGUGCUACAAUGGGAAGUACAACGAGUCGCAAACCGGCGACGGUAAGCUAAUCUCUUAAAACUUCUCUCAGUUCGGACUGGAG